rnacentral:rRNA from 1 species
GUGCUUAACAUGCAGUCGAACGGAGCACGGGGGCAACCCUGGUGGCGAGUGGCGAACGGGUGAGUAAUAUAUCGGAACGUACCCUAGGGUGGGGGAUAACGUAGCGAAAGUUACGCUAAUACCGCAUACGCUCUACGGAGGAAAGCAGGGGACCGCAAGGCCUUGCGCCUCAUGGGAGCGGCCGAUAUCGGAUUAGCUUGUUGGUGGGGUAAAAGCCUACCAAGGCGACGAUCCGUAGCUGGUCUGAGAGGACGACCAGCCACACUGGGACUGAGACACGGCCCAGACUCCUACGGGAGGCAGCAGUGGGGAAUCUUGCACAAUGGGGGCAACCCUGAUGCAGCGACGCCGCGUGAGCGAUGAAGCCCCUCGGGGUGUAAAGCUCUUUCGGCAGGGAAGAUUAUGACGGUACCUGCAGAAGCAGCUGCGGUAACUACGUGCCAGCAGCCGCGGUAAUACGUAGGCAGCAAGCGUUGUCGGAGUUACUGGGCGUAAAGGGUGUGUAGGCGGUUGCCUAAGUUUGGUGUGAAAUCUCCCGGGUUAACCGGGAGGGUGCGCCGAAAACUGGGUGACUAGAGUAUGGGAUGGGUAAGUGGAAUUCCUGGUGUAGCGGUGAAAUGCGUAGAUAUCAGGAGGAACACCGGGUGGUGUAGACGGGUUUACUGGACCAUAACUGACGCUGGAGACACGAAAGCGUGGGUGCAAACAGGAUUGA